GGUGCUUGUGUGUGUUGAGAGCACUAGUUGAAAGAGCACUGCAGCAGGCAGCUGAGUCAUGGUGACAGAGCAGCACACGUUGUGACAACUUUUUACCAGUUGUAGUAGGGAAAACCAAAUCAAGCAAAGGGUUUUACGCAUGCGCAGUUCUUGGGUCUCGAGUGCUGUGCAAGUGGAAAUUUGAAAUGGAAGUUAUGGAAUUCCCUUACGUGCUUCUGUUGUAGGACAACGUGACAUUAAAUGUGGAGAAUGAUAGAAAGAUUUGUAUAUGUUGGCCAUCAAGUAGGCUAUUCAUUUCUAUGCCAUUGUAGGCUACUCUAACCUACCACUUGAUACAAUAAAUACAUUGAAAUUAUGA